GCUCACUUGUCAGUCUUAGGUCUCAGACAUAUGCCAUCAAAGGACAAUGCUCUGUUCCACCAAAAGGUACUACAGAGGUCUGUAACAUAGUUUAAUCAUAGUUGCCACUGGGUCGCAGGUCGGCAUCGUCGUCCCAUGCGACCGCGGUCCACUUACCCGAUAGGCUCAGAGAUUCGGCUCGGCCAUGCAUGCCAAACCAUACAGACACCAGUGCACCGAUUGUAGCUCUGCCUCCUUCCCGGGAUUCUUGGUCUCGGACAGUCUUGCUGUGUUUGGUGAUGUUACCAUCACAUUACAUCUCGUCCGUAAAGGAGCGAGACAACUAGAGGCAAAUACUACACUAGUGGUGGUCCCCGAAGGGACAAAACGUACUCACAGCGCAGAUGGGUAACCCAUAGGUCACCGAUAAGUUGGGCAGAACCACCAAAGAUGCGGCCGCCCACGGAGGGUCGGAUAGAUAGGAUCUCCAAACCCUCCACAUAGAAACU
rnacentral:lncRNA from 1 species